rnacentral:rRNA from 1 species
AGCGCAGGUGGUUGUAUAAGUCUGAAGUAAAAGGCAGUGGCUCAACCAUUGUGUGCUUUGGAAACUGUACAACUUGAGUGCAGAAGGGGAGAGUGGAAUUCCAUGUGUAGCGGUGAAAUGCGUAGAUAUAUGGAGGAACACCGGUGGCGAAAGCGGCUCUCUGGUCUGUAACUGACACUGAGGCUGAAAGCGUGGGGGAGCAAACA